rnacentral:lncRNA from 10 species
CCCUGAUGAACAAAAUCACAGAAAAAGGAAUUCUUGGUAACCAGUCAAUUCAAGUUCUGACUCAUAGUCCUGCUGUAACCACAAUAAGUUCAACCAGCUGGAUUGGUGGCAUCUCCUGAAAACAGAAGAUAAUCAGCUGAGCUUGGAGGGGUGAGGCUGAGAGAAAGUAAAAGAUAGGGAGUUGGAAAGGAAAAGACAUCCAAAUCUUAACUCAAGUUUAGUUUCAUUGGAAUUAAUAUGAGAAGUGUAAUCUAUGGAGGUGGUCAUUUUUUCAAUGCAGGGGCAGUUCUUAGUGUUGUGUGGACUGAAUCUAGAGAGAGCUGUUUACGUUGAUGCAUUUGGUGUCAGAUGUGAAAUCCAUUCCCAAGUGAGAGACACUGGCAAGGCCAAGGCUGCUACGGGCCAAAUGAGUAUUCAGGACAGGAAGUCUAGUCUGCAGAGAGCUUUCUGUGCAGGAGGAGACAGCAAAUCAUCUCCAGUCUGGGCACAUGGCCACAUGGAACUACCAAAGAAACAAUGCAUGAGACCAUGGUAUUUCCUUCUGAAAACACCCUAUCCAGGACUGGCCACCUGCUCACAAAAAGGAGGAUGAGACUGAAGUUCAGAGAAGCCCUCUGUAACCAUAACAGCCACAGGAAAGAGAUCUCUAACAAUCAAAGUCUUCACAUAGAAAAGGAAUCUGAUCUGCCGUGCCUAGUUCAGGGGCAAUGAUGGCACAGAGAUGGGCAGGAAGGAGACUGCAUCCUGAUCACAGCCCACUACACUUCGCAUCCCGCCUGAUGGGAGAAAGCUGAAAUAUUAAAUACAGCACAUUUCCGAGUAUCUUUGAUUAACAGUUGUGUUACUAAAUGAUAGUUUUGAAGGUCACAGACUCAAAUGAUCCCAAGAAAUGGGAUGAAUAUAAGACAAUAGGGAGCAGCAGAGACUUUGGUAAACUGCAUAAAACAUUUUAAUCUGAAGUCCAACAAUCUGGCAGUCAGUUCUGACUAAUGGUUUCCAUUUUAAAGUCUGGGGCCAAUAUUACCAGAUUUUUCAGGGUUUAAGAAAGACAAUGCAUCCAGAAUUUAAAUGACAUAUCUUAUUUUCAAACAAUAGUGUGUAAUUUUGUUGAAAACAUUGUGUGGUCAGCAUCUACCACAUUCGUAGUGCUACACCUGUCCCGGGGAUUAUCAUUUGUAACCUGGAGCUUUUAGAAGAUAAUGGUUACGUAUGGUAGCUCUCCGGCACACUCUAAUCCAAUCUAAUUCUCUGUGGGAUCUAGGUCUGUCAGUAAGAAUAGCAACAAAGUGAGUUUUAUGCACAGAAAAUUAGAUUGUGAAUAGAUGACCUGGUUGCAAGCUCCUUAGAUAUUAGAAUCAUGUGACUGAUUCUCAUCCCUGGAGAUAACUCUGCGCGACUAUGGUGUUUCAUCC